GAUGAACGCUGACAGAAUGCUUAACACAUGCAAGUCGAUUCAAGUUACCUUCGGGUAAUGAGGAUGGCGGACGGGUGAGUAACGCGUAAGGAACUUGCCUCUUGGUCUGGGACAACUGUUGGAAACGACAGCUAAUACCGGAUAUUAUGAGAUUCUCGCAUGGGAAACUUAUGAAAGCUAUAUGCGCCAAGAGAGAGCCUUGCGUUCCAUUAGCUAGUUGGUGGGGUAACGGCCCACCAAGGCGACGAUGGAUAGCCGGCCUGAGAGGGUGAACGGCCACAAGGGGACUGAGACACGGCCCUUACUCCUACGGGAGGCAGCAGUGGGGAAUAUUGGACAAUGGGCCACAAGCCUGAUCCAGCAAUUCUGUGUGCACGAUGAAGGUCUUCGGAUUGUAAAGUGCUUUCAGUUGGGAAGAAGAAAGUGACGGUACCAACAGAAGAAGCGACGGCUAAAUACGUGCCAGCAGCCGCGGUAAUACGUAUGUCGCAAGCGUUAUCCGGAUUUAUUGGGCGUAAAGCGCGUCUAGGCGGAAAAAUAAGUCUGAUGUUAAAAUGCGGGGCUCAACUCCGUAUUGCGUUGGAAACUGUUUUUCUAGAGUACUGGAGAGGUGGGCGGAACUACAAGUGUAGAGGUGAAAUUCGUAGAUAUUUGUAGGAAUGCCNAUGGAGAAGUCAGCUCACUGGACAGANACUGACGCUGAAGCGCGAAAGCGUGGGGAGCAAACAGGAUUAGAUACCCUGGUAGUCNAC
rnacentral:rRNA from 1 species